UUGGAGUGUAAAUAAAUAAACUGGAGUAGUAUUAGUUAAAGGCUUGAAACUUAAAAAAUUUGGCGGUAUUUUAAUCUAUUCAGAGGAACCUGUCCUAUAAUUGAUAGUCCUCGUUUAAUCUUUCUUAGUUUUGUUUUUCUGUUUGUAUACCGCCGUCGUUAGAAUGUCUUAAUAGAGGGAUAAUUUUCUAAAUUUUUUAUUAUAAGUAAUGUCAGGUCAAGGUGCAGUUUAUGAUUAAGUAGAGAUGGGUUACAAUAAAUUUAUUUAAACGGAUAAUUAAAUGAAAUUUUAGUUUAAAGGUGGAUUUGAUAGUAAAAUAAUUAAUCAUAUUUAUUUGAUUUUAGUUCUAAAAUAUGC
rnacentral:rRNA from 1 species